GGACAUCAAGGAAGGUGAUAGUAAUUCGGGCUCUAAUUCAGGCCCAAAUGAAGAGACCUGCACUAAUGGAGUAAAUGAACCAGUGACGUCAACAAGGAUUCGUAGGGUGCCAAAAUAUUUAGCUUAUAUGCCAAAAUAUUUAGCUGACUAUAAGCUGUGAGAAUUUGGGUGUGGGUAAGGGGAUAUUUUUUGUAUGAGGUGUCAAUAUCUUAGUAGAUUUGUUAUGAGUCUGUUAACAACUUUUUGUUAUAUAGUUGCUGAUAAUGAAGGAAUGAAAUAAGAAAUAAUAUUUUCCCAUUUCUCCAUCCUGUUUCUGUAGGAGGCUCCUUGACCUCGAAUCAAGGCAAUUUACCUUAUCAUUCAAUUUACCUUAUCAUUUUG
rnacentral:lncRNA from 1 species